UACAGAGGGUGCAAGCGUUGUUCGGAAUUAUUGGGCGUAAAGCGCGUGUAGGCGGCUUUGCAAGUCGGGUGUGAAAGCCCUCAGCUCAACUGAGGAAGUGCGCCCGAAACUGCAGAGCUUGAGUACCGGAGAGGAUGGCGGAAUUCCCCAAGUAGAGGUGAAAAUUCCGUAGAUAUGGGGAGGAACACCGGUGGCGAAGGCGGGCCAUCUGGACGGAGUACUGACGCUGAGACGCGAAAGCGUGGGGAG
rnacentral:rRNA from 1 species